GAGGGUAUAGCUCAGUGGUAGAGUGCAUGCUUAGCAUGCACAAGGUCCUGGGCUCAAUCCCCAGUGCCUCCA
rnacentral:tRNA from 1 species